CAAUAGCGUAUAUUAAAGUUGUUGCAGUUAAAAAGCUCGUAGUCGGAUUUCGGGUCGGGCCGAGCGGUCUGCCGAUGGGUAUGCACUGUUUGGCGCGGCCUUCUUUCCGGAGACCGCGGCUACUCUUAACUGAGCGGGCGUGGGAGACGGAUCGUUUACUUUGAAAAAAUCAGAGUGUUUCUAGCAGGCAGCUCGCUCUUGCAUAGGUUAGCAUGGGAUAAUUUAAUAGGACUCUGGUGCUAUUUUGUUGGUUUCGAACACCGGAGUAAUGAUUAAUAGGGACAGUUGGGGGCAUUAGUAUUUAAUUGUCAGAGGUGAAAUUCUUGGAUUUAUGAAAGACUAACUACUGCGAAAGCAUUUGCCAAGGAUGUUUUCAUUAUCUACGAACGAAACGUAAAGGGGUAAGGGUACGUACGGAAGUAGUAGUUAAGUAAGUAACCUAACCUACUUCGUAGGAACGUACGUCCGAA
rnacentral:rRNA from 1 species